AUGCCGGCCUAUUUAGGGGUCCACGGCCGUCUAAAUCGACAGAGACCUGUACCUCAUUCUCAGCACCCCUUACAGUCUCGGGCUAUUUCGCCCUUAGCUCGGCGUUCAUCUUUCCGGUCUAGCUCAACGACGAGCUCUUUAGAUGUUCAGUCUGUUCGGACGGAUAUGACGUUGCAUGUCAUCAUCAUGGGAACCUCAUCAUCGCUGGUAUCCUCGGGUCCCGACAGAUAUCCGUCUGCAGGCUUAGAGCUUUGCCACCAAUGA